CUCCUACGGGAGGCAGCAGUGGGGAAUAUUGCACAAUGGGGGAAACCCUGAUGCAGCGACGCCGCGUGAGUGAAGAAGUAUUUCGGUAUGUAAAGCUCUAUCAGCAGGGAAGAAAAUGAC
rnacentral:rRNA from 1 species